UCCCUGGAGGUCUAGUGGUUAGGCCACAGCACUCUCAUUGCUACAGCCCGGGUUCGAUUCCUGGCCAGGGGU